AGUGAACGCUGGCGGUGGGCCUAAUACAUGCAAGUCGAACGGCAGCACAGUAAGAGCUUUCCCUUACUGUUGGCGAGUGGCGGACGGGUGAGGCAUAGAUAGGCAUCCUAUUUUUCUUGGGGGAUAUCGUGGGGCCACUUCUGCUAAUACCGCAUAUGAUGUACCGGUGGGAUCAGAGGAGAUUGGGACUUUGCGUGACACUUAGAGCUGAUGUCGCGCUGCAUUGGCUAGUUGGUAAGGGAACGGCCCACCAAGGCAACGAUGCGUAGCUGAGCUGAGAGGAUGAUCGGCCACACUGGAACUGAGACACGGUCCAGACUCCUACGGGAGGCAGCAGUAGGGAAUAUUGGACAAUGGGCGCAAGCCUGAUCCAGCCAUACCGCGUGGGUGAAGAAGGUCUUCGGAUUGUAAAGCCCUUUUGUUGGGAAAGAAAAGCAGCAUGUGAAUACCCCGCUGUUCUGACGGUACCCAAAGAAUAAGCAACGGCUAACUUCGUG
rnacentral:rRNA from 1 species